rnacentral:rRNA from 1 species
AACGAACGCUGGCGGCAUGCCUAACACAUGCAAGUCGAACGAGACCUUCGGGUCUAGUGGCGCACGGGUGCGUAACGCGUGGGAACCUGCCCUUAGGUUCGGAAUAACUCCCCGAAAGGGGUGCUAAUACCGGAUAAUGUCUUCGGACCAAAGAUUUAUCGCCUUUGGAUGGGCCCGCGUUGGAUUAGCUAGUUGGUAGGGUAAAAGCCUACCAAGGCGACGAUCCAUAGAUGGUCUGAGAGGAUGAUCAGCCACACUGGGACUGAGACACGGCCCAGACUACUACGGGAGGCAGCAGUGGGGAAUAUUGGACAAUGGGCGAAAGCCUGAACAAGCAAUGCCGCGUGAGUGAUGAAGGCCUUAGGGUUGUAAAGCUCUUUUACCCGGGAUGAUAAUGACAGUACCGGGAGAAUAAGCUCCGGCUAACUCCGUG